rnacentral:rRNA from 1 species
GUCCACGCCCUAAACUAUGAUUACUCGACAUACGCGAUACACAGUGUGUGUCUGAGCGAAAGCAUUAAGUAAUCCACCUGGGAAGUACGACCGCAAGGUUGAAACUCAAAGGAAUUGACGGGGUCGCACAAGCGGUGGAGCAUGUGGUUUAAUUCGAUGAUACGCGAGGAACCUUACCUGGGCUAGAAUGCGGUUUGACCGUGUGUGAAAGCACAUUUUAUUAGCAAUAUACGGAUCGUAAGGUGCUGCAUGGCUGUCGU